UAGCAUUAUUUUGCUAGCACCUUAGAUUUUUGACUGAAAAAUACCAAACGGAUUUUCUGUAGUAUGAAAUCCAAUCCAUACAAUUUCCAUUUGCUUUUAAGUUUUAACACAAAUAAAACAUUUUUACUGCAUUAGGCGCGCUUGGGUGCAUAAUUUGAACUUCUGUUUUAAAACGUAAUAUUACUAUUUUGGUUUUAAUAACUAAAUUAAAUGAUUUUCAUUACCUGUUUAUUACAUGCUUCUAUUUAUGUUUCGUUGCAUUUUUAUGCAUUUUGUUGAUCUAUAUAUACUUAUUGUAUUCGAGUACACCGCUAUACUUUAGGUAGUUAAGUGUAAAUACUGUACAGAACUCGGUCGUUUUUAACACGACGGUAGGUUACGUUAGACGAAUUCAAACUAUCGAAUAAAUAUCUUGAUGUUUA